UACGAAGGGGGCUAGCGUUGCUCGGAAUCACUGGGCGUAAAGCGCACGUAGGCGGAUUGCUAAGUCAGGGGUGAAAUCCUGGAGCUCAACUCCAGAACUGCCCUUGAUACUGGCGGUCUCGAGUCCGGGAGAGGUGAGUGGAACUGCGAGUGUAGAGGUGAAAUUCGUAGAUAUUCGGAAGAACACCAGUGGCGAAGGCGGCUCACUGGCCCGGUACUGACGCUGAGAUACGAAAGCGUGGGGAGCAAACAGG
rnacentral:rRNA from 1 species